AUCCACCUCUCCCAGCCCGCGUAACAGACAGAAGUCUCGUGAGCGGCGGACGGGUGAGUAAUGUAUGGGGACUGCCCGAUAGAGGGGGAUAACUACUGGAACCUGUGGCUAAUACCGCAUACUAUCUGAUAACCCAUCUGGGCUUAGCUAGUCGGUGGGGUAAAGGCUCACCUAGGCGACGAUCACUAGCUGGUCCGAGAGGAUGAUCGGCCACACUGGAACGUGGACACGGCCCAGACUCCUACGGUGGCAGCAGUGGGGAAUAUUGGACAAGGGGCGCAAGCCUGAGUCAGCCAUGCCACGUGUAUGAAGAAGGCCUUAGGGUUGUAAAGUACUUUCAGCUGUGAGGCGGUAUCUGCAGAAGAAGCAACGGCUAACUCCGUGCCAGCCGCCGCGGUAAUAC
rnacentral:rRNA from 1 species